GACAGAGUUAGGGAGGGAGUGACUAGUGACAGAGAGAGGGAUGGGGUGACUAGUGACAGUCACCCACUCCCUCACUCUGUCACUAGUCACUCCCUCCCUCUGUCACUAG